AUUGAACGCUGGCGGCAUGCCUUACACAUGCAAGUCGAACGGUAACAGGUCUUCGGAUGCUGACGAGUGGCGAACGGGUGAGUAAUACAUCGGAACGUGCCUAGUAGUGGGGGAUAACUACUCGAAAGAGUGGCUAAUACCGCAUGAGAUCUACGGAUGAAAGCAGGGGAUCGCAAGACCUUGUGCUACUAGAGCGGCCGAUGGCAGAUUAGGUAGUUGGUGGGAUAAAAGCUUACCAAGCCGACGAUCUGUAGCUGGUUUGAGAGGACGAUCAGCCACCCUGGGACUGAGACACGGCCCAGACUCCUACGGGAGGCAGCAGUGGGGAAUUUUGGACAAUGGGCGCAAGCCUGAUCCAGCAAUGCCGCGUGCAGGAUGAAGGCCUUCGGGUUGUAAACUGCUUUUGUACGGAACGAAAAGCCCUGGGUUAAUACCCUGGGGUCAUGACGGUACCGUAAGAAUAAGCACCGGCUAACUACGUGCCAGCCGCCGCCGUAAAAC
rnacentral:rRNA from 1 species